GUUUGCACACAUACCAAAAUUGGGACAAUAAAGAGGAGAUUAGCAUGACUCCUGUGAAAGGAUGACAUGCAAAUCUGUGAAGCAGUCCAUAUUUUU
rnacentral:snRNA from 1 species